rnacentral:rRNA from 1 species
AUUGAACGCUGGCGGCAUGCUUUACACAUGCAAGUCGAACGGUAACAGGCCGCAAGGUGCUGACGAGUGGCGAACGGGUGAGUAAUGCAUCGGAACGUGCCCAGUCGUGGGGGAUAACGCAGCGAAAGCUGCGCUAAUACCGCAUACGAUCUCUGGAUGAAAGCGGGGGACCGAAAGGCCUCGCGCGAUUGGAGCGGCCGAUGUCAGAUUAGGUAGUUGGUGGGGUAAAGGCUCACCAAGCCAACGAUCUGUAGCUGGUCUGAGAGGACGACCAGCCACACUGGGACUGAGACACGGCCCAGACUCCUACGGGAGGCAGCAUUGGGGAAUUUUGGACAAUGGGCGCAAGCCUGAUCCAGCAAUGCCGCGUGCAGGAAGAAGGCCUUCGGGUUGUAAACUGCUUUUGUACGGAACGAAACGGUCCGGGUUAAUACCCUGGGCUAAUGACGGUACCGUAAGAAUAAGCACCGGCUAACUACGUGCCAGCCGCCGCGGUAAGAC